rnacentral:rRNA from 1 species
GACGAAUGCUGGCGGCGUGCUUAACACAUGCAAGUCGAACGGAAAGGCCCUGCUUUUGUGGGGUGCUCGAGUGGCGAACGGGUGAGUAACACGUGAGUAACCUGCCCUUGACUUUGGGAUAACUUCAGGAAACUGGGGCUAAUACCGGAUAGGAGCUCCUGCUGCAUGGUGGGGGUUGGAAAGUUUCGGCGGUUGGGGAUGGACUCGCGGCUUAUCAGCUUGUUGGUGGGGUAGUGGCUUACCAAGGCUUUGACGGGUAGCCGGCCUGAGAGGGUGACCGGCCACAUUGGGACUGAGAUACGGCUCAGACUCCUACGGGAGGCAGCAGUGGGGAAUAUUGCACAAUGGGCGGAAGCCUGAUGCAGCAACGCCGCGUGCGGGAUGACGGCCUUCGGGUUGUAAACCGCUUUCGCCUGUGACGAAGCGUGAGUGACGGUAAUGGGUAAAGAAGCACCGGCUAACUACGUG